AGAGUUUGAUCCUGGCUCAGAUUGAACGCUGGCGGCAUGCCUUACACAUGCAAGUCGAACGGCAAGCACGGGAGCAAUCCUGGUGGCGAGUGGCGAACGGGUGAGUAAUAUAUCGGAACGUGCCCAGUCGUGGGGGAUAACGUAGAGAAAUUUACGCUAAUACCGCAUACGAUCUAAGGAUGAAAGCGGGGGACCGUAAGGGCCUCGCGCGAUUGGAGCGGCUGAUAUCAGAUUAGGUUGUUGGUGAGGUAAAAGCUCACCAAGCCGACGAUCUGUAGCUGGUUUGAGAGAACGACCAGCCACACUGGGACUGAGACACGGCCCAGACUCCUACGGGAGGCAGCAGUGGGGAAUUUUGGACAAUGGGCGAAAGCCUGAUCCAGCAAUGCCGCGUGCAGGAAGAAGGCCUUCGGGUUGUAAACUGCUUUUGUACGGAACGAAAAGGUCUGCCCUAAUACGGCGGGCCCAUGACGGUACCGUAGGAAUAAGCACCGGCUAACUACGUGCCAGCAGCCGCGGUAAUACGUAGGGUGCGAGCGUUAAUCGGAAUUACUGGGCGUAAAGCGUGCGCAGGCGGUGAUGUAAGACAGUCGUGAAAUCCCCGGGCUCACCUGGGAAUUGC
rnacentral:rRNA from 1 species